AACGUAGGUGGCAAGCGUUAUCCGGAUUUACUGGGCGUAAAGGGCUCGCGGGCGGCUAGUCAGGUCGGUUGUGAAAUCUCCCGGCUCAACUGGGAGGGUGCGACCGAAACCGAUUAGCUUGAAGGCCAGAGAGGGACAGGGAAUUCCCGGUGUAGUGGUAAAAUGCGUUGAUAUCGGGAGGAACACCAGUGGCGAAGGCGCUGUCCUGGCUGGUGCUUGACGCUUAGGAGCGAAAGCGUGGGGAGCGAACGGG
rnacentral:misc_RNA from 1 species